rnacentral:lncRNA from 1 species
UGCCCCGCGGGACCGGGACCGGGCGGGUGAUGCCCGCGGGGCUGAGCUGCGCCCGGCCUGGGGUCCGCUCUGCUCCAGCUCAGGCGCGAGCAGCAGCUCCGAGGCCGUUCCUCGUCCGCGAGCGGUCCGGGCCCAGACGGCAGUGAAUAGACCCUUCUCUUGAUCCGGGGAUAUAAGCUGAGCUCCAGGACAGCAUCUAGGGCACCGAGAAAGACCAGAAGAGAGUCACCGCUGCGAUGAGGAGGUCAGUGAUCUCUGCACCCAACGUGGGACUCGAACUCCCGACCCUGAGAUGGAGAGCCGCAUGUUCUUCUGACGGAGCCAGCCAGGCCCACCUGCCCACCCCGGUGCUUCUGGUGAGCAGAACCCAGGCCGAACAAGGGUGGUGCUCGGGCCCCUUCACCGCAUGGAUUAGACCCCUGCUUUGGGAUCGAGGUAACUGAGUCAGAAUAAGGUUGAUCUAAAAGAAAAUAGAAAUCUAUUUCUGCUGAAAAAACUGUACUAUGUAGGGAUUCUCUACUUAGAGGAAAGCCUAUGGCAGUGCCAGACGGCCCGGGUGCAAUUCGCUGACCCGCUCUGUAGCCAGAGGGGACAAGGGUGCCCCCAGCCCUCACCUUUGCCCCACUUCGUGGGGAUGUCCCUCGGGAGGCCCAGCCGUGACCCGCCGCCCCAGCGGACUGUCCCGUGGAGGCCGCCUCAUUCUCGGCAGAAGGGUUCUGGGCAGGAAUCCUGCUAGAUUUCUUUGAUAACGAACCAAACCCCGCCAGCCCAAGAAAUUGAGCCUGUUUCAUGAACACGGCUUCCCAGAAGAGAGCGCGGUGCCAGGCCCCACCAGCGCAGCCGGCGCGUCCGGGCUGGCUCUGGGGCCCGCGCUGGCCCGUCCUGGGCUCCAGCCUUCGGCCCUGCACUCCCACUUUCAAGCAGGUGUCAGCCUCUUCCCUGGGAAGUGUUGGUGUUUCCGUGUGUCCGGGACCUCCCCUCUACAGCCCUGGAGUCCGAGGAGCAGGAGCCACUCAGCCUGCGGGGAAUGGCCAAGUGGGUAACGCAGGCCUUCCAAAACGUUGCUGCUGUUCUUUUUUCUUCUGUGCUUCACAUCCUUUUUCUAAAAAAAAAACAUGUAAAUUUUUGGUUAUAAUGUGGAGCUUUGAGAAGGAUCAGUAGAAGACACAAGGAAAUGAUGCUCCAUCAUCUCUGAACUCUUCCAACAUUUGUUUACACCACAUUACAGCUCUGAUCGCACUUUGUAAAGUGAAUUAUCUUCACCAUGUCUGUUCCUAGUUGAAGGAGAGCUUCUCCAAGGUUCAGGGACCUCUUCUAAUUUUGCAUCUCCUGCCUCUUGUGCAUUAGCAGGAAGUUGGAGCGCAUUGAAUAAUGUUGACUGAAGAAAGACUAAAUACUAAAUAUUUAACUAUAGAGAACCGACCUAAGGUUCCCACAGCAGAGGUGGUGGGGAGAAUAAGUGAGAUAAGUGAUGGAGAUUAAGGAGGGCACUUGUGGACCUGCUGCGAUGAGCACCGGGUGUUGUGUGGAAGUGCUGAGUCACCAUACUGUGCACCAGAAACCAGCAUCACACUGUGUAUUAACUAACUAGGACCGGAAAGGAAGAAAAAGAAUGAAUAUCCAGCCUCCCCAAAGAUAUCACUUGUAGGACUAGACAGUGGUCAUUUUUUAAAAAGUUGAUUGAUGGCAAUCGAUGUUGUCUGUGCCAAUAUAUAUGACAGUAAAUCAACUUCACUUUAUCGAAUUCAUUCAGUUCAGAUCAUUUGAAUAUUGGUGUGACUCACCAUGGCCGAUUCGGAUGUGACAGUCAUGAUUUAUUUUAUGGGUAGUAAAAAACAACUGGGUUAGAUGCUUCUAUGUGGAAUCUCAGUGAAAUAAUUUUAGGUGAGGAAGUAGUGGAUGGGGAAACAUUCUCUAGAUACGCUUCCCUCUUAUAAGGACUUUUGUGAUUAUAUUGGGCCCACCCUCACCCAGGAUAAUUUUCCCACUAUAAGAUCCUUAACUUACCCAUUUCAAAUUUCAAAAUACAGGUCUUGUGACUCUUUUGUGAAAUUUAUUCACAAAGAUGUAAUCCUUUUGAUGCUAUUGUGUAUGAUUUUCUUAAGGUCAUUUCUGGACUGUUUGUAUAAAUAUGUAAUAGAUUUGUGUAUACUGAUUUUACAUUCUGUGACCUUGCUAAACUCAUUUCUUUGUUCUAAUAAUUUUUGUUUGUUGUUUUUUUCCCUUAGGUUUUCAUUUUGUUUUUAAAGAUCUUUUCAUCUGUGAAUAAAGUCUGAUUUUUUUUUUUUUGGUAUUACUUC